UUGAAGAAAAAGAGAAUCACCAUAGCAAAAGGGAAGUAAUUCCUUAAAAAUAUGGUUCUUUUCUUUUAUUUAGAAUUUCCAGUUUAGAUCUCCACUUGCCUUUGAUUAGAACUUCAGAUCUGCAAAAAAAAAAAACACAUCACAAAACCAUAAAAAUCAAUACUUUUAUACAUAGGAAGAUAGGAAGAUUAUCGUAUUGCAUAUCACUUCCUAGGAGGAUUCAAAUUGUUUCGAUCUUCAACCUUUUGGAAACGUAUGACCCAUAAGGUUGAAGCAUUCAUCUGUUUUCAGAUGUUAAAAACAAAUCACAAGGAUUCAAACUGUUUUUGCAUCUUAGGUUUAUCGUGAGACCCAUAAGGUUGAAGAUCGAAACUUUAAUUUGAAAAAAGACCCAUAUACAUAAAAAUCAAUCAUCUGUUCAUGCCUAUACCGCCAUUGAUAACUGAAGUGGCCAAUAUGUUUCAUACUUUUUCAUUAAACUGAACGCAAGC
rnacentral:lncRNA from 1 species